rnacentral:rRNA from 1 species
AUUGAACGCUGGCGGCAUGCCUUACACAUGCAAGUCGAACGGUAGAGGGGGGCAACCCCUUCGAGAGUGGCGAACGGGUGAGUAAUGCAUCGGAACGUGCCCAGUCGUGGGGGAUAGCCCGGGGAAACCCGGAUUAAUACCGCAUACGACCUGAGGGUGAAAGCGGGGGACUCGCAAGGGCCUCGCGCGAUUGGAGCGGCCGAUGUCGGAUUAGGCAGUUGGUGGGGUAAAGGCCAACCAAGCCUGCGAUCCGUAGCUGGUCUGAGAGGACGACCGGCCACACUGGGACUGAGACACGGCGCAGACUCCUACGGGAGGCAGCAGUGGGGAAUUUUGGACAAUGGGGGCAACCCUGAUCCAGCCAUGCCGCGUGCGGGAAGAAGGCCUUCGGGUUGUAAACCGCUUUUGUCAGGGAAGAAAUGUCCUGGGCUAAUACCCUGGGGGGAUGACGGUACCUGAAGAAUAAGCACCGGCUAACUACGUGCCAGCCGCCGCCGUAA